rnacentral:tRNA from 1 species
GGUGGCUCAGUGGUAGAGUGCUUGCCUUGCAUGCAUGAGGCUGUUGGUUCGAUUCCUCAGCACCA